rnacentral:rRNA from 1 species
AUGAACGCUAGCGGCAGGCUUAACACAUGCAAGUCGAGGGGCAGCACGAGUAGCAAUAUUUGGUGGCGACCGGCGCACGGGUGAGUAACGCGUAUGCAAUCUACCUUUAACUGGGGGAUAGCUCCGAGAAAUCGGAAUUAAUACCCCAUAACAUUAUUGAAAGACAUCUUUUAAUAAUUAAAGUUCCGACGGUUAGAGAUGAGCAUGCGUGCCAUUAGUUUGUUGGUAGGGUAACGGCCUACCAAGACUACGAUGGCUAGGGGGUCUGAGAGGAUGAUCCCCCACACUGGUACUGAGACACGGACCAGACUCCUACGGGAGGCAGCAGUGAGGAAUAUUGGUCAAUGGGCGCAAGCCUGAACCAGCCAUGCCGCGUGAAGGAUGAAUGCCCUAUGGGUUGUAAACUUCUUUUGUACGGGACGAAACCCCUGAACGUGUUCGGGGCUGACGGUACUGUACGAAUAAGCAUCGGCUAACUCCGU